UCUCCAGGUCCACAAUGACUACCAUUCUUUUGCUCGCAAACCGAUACUUUAAGGAACCGAAUGAAAACUAGGAAGAAAAACCCACACCCUCUGGACCCCACCUGUAUCAGGUGACCUCCCCGCUCCCAUAACUAAGGCGUUUCCAAAUGCACCCCAAAUAGGGUACAAUUCCCCAACAUCCUGGUUAUGGGGUUCUGGCUUCUAUCUUUAGGCUACUAGAGGACCAGAAGUGAAAUACGACUCCACGUGAAACCAAUCCGGGGAGCAGUCAGCACCGACCGCCAGCCUCACAAGCCCAGGGCGUUCGCUCUAACUCCACGGGAGUGGCGAUUUCAAACCCAGCUGGGAGAGGGAGGGAUCAGGAACGUAAUGUGACAGGCUCAAGUGACAGCGUCCUCUCUCCAGCCCAACCCUCCCGGGCGGUGCUCCCUCCUAAUGGCAGUGCAGCGCCGGCCAGGUAUAUUCACGCUUUGCUCCCCCGGUGUGGACACCGCCCGCUCCAAGAACCAGCCUGGGCAAAGCCCACCGCACCAGCUCACGGAGCAGCCGAGCCGCCUGCGACGCCGCUCACCUCCGUCCCCGUAGGUCUCCACGCCGUACCCGUCCUGCAGCCCGUUACUCCAGGGCUGUAGGAUAUUUCCUUUUACAUCAGAACCUUCUCCCCCAGGACCUCAAUUGUUCUGACGACCUUAGAAAUUCUUCAGCCUGGAGCUGUGUACCCAACAGGCAGACGGCUCCGUCUUUGUAUGUUGUAUAAGUGUGGAGACACUGGUAUCCACAGUUUAAGAGACUAAAUAGAAGCUUUCAAGGAGGAAUAUGUAGAUAUCUUCCUUGGAAGGAACAUCCAUGAAAAGAGAGACUCUACUACCAGAUACCGUGGUUAAAUUUCAACUAAUCAGUCCUAAUCUGAUUCUGCCAUUGACUCUCUUCAUGGAAGAAAGUUAGGAUUGAAUUUUCGGUAGCUCACUGAACAAUUUCUGGGAAAGUCACCCUCCAGUGCCUGCUUCCAUGAACCUGUGGCCAUCACAAUGGAAUGUUUCCCCACUCUCACUAGUGUGUUCAUUAAUGUCGUGUUCAGGUUCCAUGGUCAUGGUUGGAGAAGACUGGGAAAGAGAACGAGGAGGAGGUGGGCGCUGAGAAGGAUGGCAGAGCGGAUCGUAGGCAGGGGAAUAAUGCUGCAGUUUACUAGGUAGGGUUAGUAAUGUCCUUAUUUUCCCUCUCGCUCCGAACCUUUGCCCUGGAUAAGGGGGAGUUGAAUUUAGCUUUAAGGAGGGAUUAGUAAGGAGAGAAUGUGAAAGUUGGUUGGACAGGUGGGGUGGGGGAGGCCUUUAAAGCCCAGGGGCCAACAGGCCCUCUAGCAGUUUGUUUUCCUCCACACUCAAAACCCAACUAUUGUAGAUUUCCAUUCUAGAACACUCUAACAAAAAGUAAGCCAUUCUGACUGUAAAUGUCUAGUAAGAACAUGUUGGCGAGGAUGCUUUGCUUAGAAUUUAAUCUUUUUUUUUACGCGAAAGUGUAUUUAAAAAUUUAUGAGUGACUUCAUUUUAUUUUUUAUUAGAAUUAAUUAUUGAGAAUUUUUAAUAAAAAAUUACAAAUGACACAAAGCUAAUCUGUAGGUGUGUAUUGACUCAAAGUGUGUAAAAAAAAAGCACAUACAAUUAAAAUUACUUGAUUUAUUAUGUAAGUCAAAAUGAGUAUUACUAGCACAUUUGUAAUAAAGCAUUCAUAAAAGGUUAA